rnacentral:tRNA from 2 species
GGGCUGUUAACUCAGCGGUAGAGUACCACCUUGACACGGUGGGAGUCACUGGUUCAAUUCCAGUACAGCCCA